rnacentral:rRNA from 1 species
UGGGGAAUAUUGGACAAUGGGCGCAAGCCUGAUCCAGCCAUGCCGCGUGAGUGAUGAAGGCCCUAGGGUUGUAAAGCUCUUUCACCGGUGAAGAUAAUGACGGUAACUGGAGAAGAAGCCCCGGCUAACUUCGUGCCAGCAGCCGCGGUAAUACGAAGGGGGCUAGCGUUGUUCGGAUUUACUGGGCGUAAAGCGCACGUAGGCGGACUAUUAAGUCAGGGGUGAAAUCCCGGGGCUCAACCCCGGAACUGCCUUUGAUACUGGUAGUCUUGAGUUCGAGAGAGGUGAGUGGAAUUCCGAGUGUAGAGGUGAAAUUCGUAGAUAUUCGGAGGAACACCAGUGGCGAAGGCGGCUCACUGGCUCGAUACUGACGCUGAGGUGCGAAAGCGUGGGGAGCAAACAGG